CUACGGGUGGCUGCAGUGAGGAAUAUUGCACAAUGGGGGGAACCCUGAUGCAGCAACGCCGCGUGGAGGAUGACGCAUUUCGGUGUGUAAACUCCUUUUAUAUGUCAAGAAAAUGACGGUAGCAUAUGAAUAAGCACCGGCUAACUCUGUGCCAGCAGCCGCGGUAAUACGGAGGGUGCAAGCGUUACUCGGAAUCACUGGGCGUAAAGGACGCGUAGGCGGGUUGGAAAGUCAGGUGUGAAAUCCUACAGCUUAACUGUAGAACUGCACUUGAAACUUCUAAUCUAGAGUAUGGGAGGGGGAGAUGGAAUUAGUGGUGUAGGGGUAAAAUCCGUAGAUAUCACUAGGAAUACCUAAAGCGAAGGCGAUCUCCUGGAACAUUACUGACGCUAAGGCGUGAAAGCGUGGGGAGCAAACAGGAUUAGAUACCCUAGUAGUC
rnacentral:rRNA from 1 species